CACCCCGGUCCCGGCACCAAGGGAGAGGGGUGUCGGCACUGCAAGGGUGCGCACACACGGACAGACAGACAGCAGAGCUGCGAGUGCAGCCUGGCACGUAUACGCCGCUAUAAGCGUUGAUCUGCACAGUCGGACAGACGUAUGAUCGCAGCUCUGCCUGUUCCUACAAGGUGACGGGAAGGAAGGCGUGAGCGGACACACGGGCAUUCCCCGGUGCCGCGCAAGGGAGUCAGGGAGAAACCGGGCAGUGUGGGUUAGGAAAACUCCGCUCGGGCGGCUGAGCUGCGUAUGCACAGCUGAGGCCAACUUGACGAUUUCAGUAUUUGAUUUUCUGCUUCUGACAAACAAUGCCUGUAUGAUGCUGCAUGGCUGCAGUUUUGUCUCGUCUUGCAGCAGCACUCCUGGCAGGAUUUGACAGCAGGGAGUGUGUUACGGCAGCACUGACUGGAUAGCACUCACCUAUCAACAAGUGGCAAAUCCAUAUUGCCUCAGACUGUCAUCCUCAUUUCAGAACUUCUUCUGGAUUGUAACCUGUGAUUAAGGCAAUUCCCAUCCUCUGUUCUCUCCUGUCCCUUCAGGAUGCCAGGAAGGCGUCACGCUUACUGCAGAAGCAGGAAUUAAAACAGCCAAACAGCAUCUCACCAGCAUCUUUCCUGUUGUACAGAAGGUCCCACAGAACCUUUCCACAUGGUAGACUGAUUUUGUGACUCCUGCCAGCAUGGAACUGCCUGCACAAUUGAAACAGAAUAUUUCAUGAAGAGAGCAACUUUGCACAUGCAAAUGACAGCACUUGUUAAGUCUGCAUUGCUGCUGGUUGCACCAGGGAGCACAGAGAGGCCUGGGCAGAGGCAGAUAAAGCCAACUCUCUUGCAUGCAGAGCUGUCUAUAAACCAGAUUGCUUUCCAGCAGUCUCUGAAACAGUAGCUGGAGACAAACCAUCUGCCUUAACCAGGCUGUGGUGUUGCUUCCUGGAUGUUCAGGUGUCCCAAUACUGAGCGUGGCAAAA